rnacentral:rRNA from 1 species
AACGAACGCUGGCGGCAGGCUUAACACAUGCAAGUCGAACGGGUGUAGCAAUACAUCAGUGGCAGACGGGUGAGUAACACGUGGGAACCUUCCUCGUUGUACGGGACAACUCAGGGAAACUUGAGCUAAUACCGUAUACGUCCGAGAGGAGAAAGAUUUAUCGCAAUGAGACGGGCCCGCGUCGGAUUAGCUAGUUGGUAGGGUGACGGCCUACCAAGGCGACGAUCCGUAGCUGAUCUGAGAGGAUGAUCAGCCACACUGGGACUGAGACACGGCCCAGACUCCUACGGGAGGCAGCAGUGGGGAAUCUUGGACAAUGGGCGCAAGCCUGAUCCAGCCAUGCCGCGUGAGUGAAGAAGGCCUUAGGGUUGUAAAGCUCUUUUGCCAGGGACGAUAAUGACGGUACCUGGAGAAUAAGCCCCGGCAAACUUCGUGCCAGCAGCCGCGGUAAAAC